rnacentral:rRNA from 1 species
CCUACGGGUGGCAGCAGUGAGGAAUAUUGGUCAAUGGACGGAAGUCUGAACCAGCCAUGCCGCGUGCAGGAUGACGGCUCUAUGAGUUGUAAACUGCUUUUGUACGAGAAUAAUAGUUCUUACGUGUAGGGAUUUGAAUGUAUCUUACGAAUAAGGAUCGGCUAACUCCGUGCCAGCAGCCGCGGUAAUACGGAGGAUUCGAGCGUUAUCCGGAUUUAUUGGGUUUAAAGGGUGCGUAGGUGGUUUGAUAAGUGAGAGGUCAAAUUUUGGGGCUCAACCCUGUGACUGCCUCUGAUACUGGUAGACUUGAGAGCGGAUGCAGCAGGCGGAAUGAGUAGUGUAGCGGUGAAAUGCUUAGAUAUUACUCAGAACACCGAUUGCGCAGGCAGCUUGCUAAUCCGCAUCUGACGCUGAUGCUCGAAAGCGUGGGUAGCGAACAGGAUUAGAUACCCCAGUAGUC